AAAGAAAAAAACUGUUUUUAACUUGAAGAAAACGAAAACAGAUGAAUAUUUUCAGAAAAAAGUGUUAAUAAUUAAGUUCGGCUAACGGCGCGACAUCACCCUCCCUGUGGCCACUGCCAUGGCCCUCCUCCGUGCGUCCCACGCUGUUUUCUCCGCCUUUCCAGUCUGUUCGCCGUUGGUAUCUCCUCCGUUGGUGAUUCCGCCGUAGCUCCUCGUCCUCUCGGAAGGUAAAAGGGAUGUCCUGCUGGCUGGAAUGUGGCAAACACUCCUGUUUGUCCUGCUGCGGGCCAUAGCCAUGAUGCCGCUGCUAUGUCGCUGAGUCGCCGAUGUGGCGGCCCGUCUGCUGCAGCAGGGACCUGUGAUCGCCGGCGGAAUUGUUGGUACACGCCCACGGGAAAUAAUGUCAGCAGCCCGCAAUUCAUACGCCGCCGAACCAAACGGUGGGAAUCAGCUUCGAGACGCAGGGCUUAUGUAGCCUACGCUUUGCCACAAACCGAGCCGCAUCCGAUUUCCCCCGCCAUACGGAGUCCUAUCCAUUAAUGAGGAGUAUUCGAGACAGACCGGCGCCUUACAAGCCAUACUUCGACCUGGACACCGACAACAAGGACUUUGACUAUGGCAACCAAGGGAGCGGCUGCGCGGGCUACUAGACUACACUCGUUGUUAUUAGGUUUAAGAUUGAUAAGUUUUAAGACUGCUUUCCACUUGUUUUUUUUAUUAUUCAUAUCAUUCAAUGUCCUUGCAAAGAAUCGGAGAAAUUUGA
rnacentral:sRNA from 1 species